AACGAACGCUGGCGGCGCGCCUAAUACAUGCAAGUCGAGCGAGAAGACGUAGCAAUACGUUUGUAAAGCGGCGAACGGGUGAGGAAUGCAUGGGUAACCUACCCUCGAGUGGGGAAUAACUAGCCGAAAGGUUAGCUAAUACCGCGUACGCUCCUUGGACUUCGGUUCAGGGAGGAAAGCGAUACCGUGGGUAUCGCGCUCUUGGAUGGGCUCAUGUCCUAUCAGCUUGUUGGNGAGGUAACGGCUCACCAAGGCUUCAACGGGUAGCUGGUCUGAGAGGACGAUCAGCCACACUGGCACUGCGACACGGGCCAGACUCCUACGGGAGGCAGCAGUAAGGAAUAUUGCGCAAUGGGCGAAAGCCUGACGCAGCGACGCCGCGUGGGGGAUGAAGGUCUUCGGAUUGUAAACCCCUUUUACGGGAGGGAAGAUGGAACGAGCAAUCGUUCGGACGGUACCUCCAGAAGCAGCCACGGCUAACUUCGUGCCAGCAGCCGCAGUAA
rnacentral:rRNA from 1 species